rnacentral:rRNA from 1 species
GUUUGAUUCCUGGCUCAGAAUGAACGCUGGCGGCGUGCUUUACACAUGCAAGUCGAGCGAGGCGGGGAGCAAUCCCCAGUCGAGCGGCGAACGGGUGAGUAACGCGUGGAUGACCUGCCCUUCAGCGGGGAAUAACCCGGGGAAACUCGGGCUAAUACCGCAUACGACCGAGAGGUGAAAGGGGGCUCGCAAGAGCUCUCACUGAAGGAGGGGUCCGCGUUCGAUUAGCUAGUUGGUAGGGUAAUGGCCUACCAAGGCGACGAUCGAUAGCCGGCCUGAGAGGGUGAUCGGCCACACUGGAACUGAGACACGGUCCAGACUCCUACGGGAGGCAGCAGUGGGGAAUUUUGCGCAAUGGGCUAACGCCUGACGCAGCAACGCCGCGUGGAGGAUGAAGGUCUUUGGAUUGUAAACUCCUGUCAGCAGGGAAAAAGGGAAGGGACCUAAUACGUCCUUGACUUGAUUGUACCUGCAGAGGAAGCCCCGGCUAACUCUGUGCCAGCAGCCGCGGUAAUACAGAGGGGGCAAGCGUUAUUCGGAAUUAUUGGGCGUAAAGGGCGCGUAGGCGGCCAUUCAAGUGACGGGUGAAAGCCCUCGGCUUAACCGAGGAACUGCCUGUCAGACUGGAUGGCUUGAGACCGGGAGAGGUGAGUGGAAUUCCCAGUGUAGCGGUGAAAUGCGUAGAUAUUGGGAGGAACACCAGUGGCGAAGGCGGCUCACUGGACCGGAACUGACGCUGAGGCGCGAAAGCGUGGGGAGCAAACAGGAUUAGAUACCCUGGUAGUCCACGCCGUAAACGAUGAGUGCUUGGUGUAGCGGGUAUCGACCCCUGCUGUGCCGAAGUCAACACAUUAAGCACUCCGCCUGGGGAGUACGGUCGCAAGACUGAAACUCAAAGGAAUUGACG